rnacentral:lncRNA from 1 species
GGGGGGGGCACUUCAAUUUUUUUUGGGUAGGGGUGAGCAGCUGAGACAUCAAGUACCCCACCCUUUUCAUAUAUUUGGUUUAUCAAAAAUAUAUACCUUGUCAUAUAUUAAUGAAUAAAAAACAGACCUAUAGAUAUAUUUGGAUAUUUUUCAUCUUCUUGUACAUUAGAGUUUACAAAAAUUUUGAGGUCCUGCUCAUUUUGCGUUUUUGUUUAGAUGCAACGCAGUCGCAAUAAUCACACCUUGCUUUUCCAAUAAAUUCUUCACUCCUCUAUUUGCCCCUUUUAUAACUUCAACGGCUUUAAUUAUGAAGAAAUUUCAAUUUGAAAAGACAAUAAAUAUUGUUUUAUCAGAUAAAUGUAGUAACACUUCAGAUAGUAUCACGUUUACUGAGUUUACAUUAAUUAAAAACUGAUUUGUCGUUGCCUCUUGAAGGACGCUAACACUAUGCUAUGGAAUUUCUUCAAAUGUUUUAUGUAUGCAAA